rnacentral:rRNA from 1 species
CCAGACUCCUACGGGAGGCAGCAGUGGGGAAUAUUGCACAAUGGACGGAAGUCUGAUGCAGCAACGCCGCGUGCGGGAUGACGGCCUUCGGGUUGUAAACCGCUUUCAAUUGUGACGAAGCUUUUUGUGACGGUAGCAGUAGAAGAAGCACCGGCUAACUACGUGCCAGCAGCCGCGGUGAUACGUAGGGUGCGAGCGUUGUCCGGAUUUAUUGGGCGUAAAGAGCUUGUAGGUGGUUUGUCGCGUCGGGAGUGAAAACUCAGGGCUUAACUCUGAGCUUGCUUUCGAUACGGGCUGACUUGAGGGAGGUAGGGGAGAAUGGAAUUCCUGGUGGAGCGGUGGAAUGCGCAGAUAUCAGGAGGAACACCGGUGGCGAAGGCGGUUCUCUGGACCUUUCCUGACGCUGAGAAGCGAAAGCGUGGGGAGCGAACAGGCUUAGAUACCCUGGUAGUCCACGCUGUAAACGGUGGGUACUAGGUGUGGGGGACAUUCCACGUUCUCCGUGCCGUAGCUAACGCAUUAAGUACCCCGCCUGGGGAGUAC